AAGGUUAAGCCUCACGGUUCAUUAGUACCGGUUAGCUCAACGCAUCGCUGCGCUUACACACCCGGCCUAUCAACGUCGUCGUCUUCAACGUUCCUUCAGGACUCUCAAGGAGUCAGGGAGAACUCAUCUCGGGGCAAGUUUCGUGCUUAGAUGCUUUCAGCACUUAUCUCUUCCGCAUUUAGCUACCGGGCAGUGCCAUUGGCAUGACAACCCGAACACCAGUGAUGCGUCCACUCCGGUCCUCUCGUACUAGGAGCAGCCCCCCUCAGUUCUCCAGCGCCCACGGCAGAUAGGGACCGAACUGUCUCACGACGUUCUAAACCCAGCUCGCGUACCACUUUAAAUGGCGAACAGCCAUACCCUUGGGACCUACUUCAGCCCCAGGAUGUGAUGAGCCGACAUCGAGGUGCCAAACACCGCCGUCGAUAUGAACUCUUGGGCGGUAUCAGCCUGUUAUCCCCGGAGUACCUUUUAUCCGUUGAGCGAUGGCCCUUCCAUUCAGAACCACCGGAUCACUAUGACCUGCUUUCGCACCUGCUCGCGCCGUCACGCUCGCAGUCAAGCUGGCUUAUGCCAUUGCACUAACCUCCUGAUGUCCGACCAGGAUUAGCCAACCUUCGUGCUCCUCCGUUACUCUUUAGGAGGAGACCGCCCCAGUCAAACUACCCACCAGACACUGUCCGCAACCCGGAUUACGGGUCAACGUUAGAACAUCAAACAUUAAAGGGUGGUAUUUCAAGGUCGGCUCCAUGCAGACUGGCGUCCACACUUCAAAGCCUCCCACCUAUCCUACACAUCAAGGCUCAAUGUUCAGUGUCAAGCUAUAGUAAAGGUUCACGGGGUCUUUCCGUCUUGCCGCGGGUACACUGCAUCUUCACAGCGAGUUCAAUUUCACUGAGUCUCGGGUGGAGACAGCCUGGCCAUCAUUACGCCAUUCGUGCAGGUCGGAACUUACCCGACAAGGAAUUUCGCUACCUUAGGACCGUUAUAGUUACGGCCGCCGUUUACCGGGGCUUCGAUCAAGAGCUUCGCUUGCGCUAACCCCAUCAAUUAACCUUCCGGCACCGGGCAGGCGUCACACCGUAUACGUCCACUUUCGUGUUUGCACAGUGCUGUGUUUUUAAUAAACAGUUGCAGCCAGCUGGUAUCUUCGACUGAUUUCAGCUCCAUCCGCGAGGGACUUCACCUACAUAUCAGCGUGCCUUCUCCCGAAGUUACGGCACCAUUUUGCCUAGUUCCUUCACCCGAGUUCUCUCAAGCGCCUUGGUAUUCUCUACCUGACCACCUGUGUCGGUUUGGGGUACGAUUUGAUGUUACCUGAUGCUUAGAGGCUUUUCCUGGAAGCAGGGCAUUUGUUGCUUCAGCACCGUAGUGCCUCGUCAUCACGCCUCAGCCUUGAUUUUCCGGAUUUGCCUGGAAAACCAGCCUACACGCUUAAACCGGGACAACCGUCGCCCGGCCAACAUAGCCUUCUCCGUCCCCCCUUCGCAGUAACACCAAGUACAGGAAUAUUAACCUGUUUCCCAUCGACUACGCCUUUCGGCCUCGCCUUAGGGGUCGACUCACCCUGCCCCGAUUAACGUUGGACAGGAACCCUUGGUCUUCCGGCGAGCGGGCUUUUCACCCGCUUUAUCGUUACUUAUGUCAGCAUUCGCACUUCUGAUACCUCCAGCAUGCCUCACAGCACACCUUCACAGGCUUACAGAACGCUCCCCUACCCAACAACGCAUAAGCGUCGCUGCCGCAGCUUCGGUGCAUGGUUUAGCCCCGUUACAUCUUCCGCGCAGGCCGACUCGACCAGUGAGCUAUUACGCUUUCUUUAAAUGAUGGCUGCUUCUAAGCCAACAUCCUGGCUGUCUGGGCCUUCCCACAUCGUUUCCCAUUAACCAUGACUUUGGGACCUUAGCUGGCGGUCUGGGUUGUUCCCUCUUCACGACGGACGUUAGCACCCGCCGUGUGUCUCCCGUGAUAACAUUCUCCGGUAUUCGCAGUUUGCAUCGGGUUGGUAAGUCGGGAUGACCCCCUUGCCGAAACAGUGCUCUACCCCCGGAGAUGAAUUCACGAGGCGCUACCUAAAUAGCUUUCGGGGAGAACCAGCUAUCUCCCGGUUUGAUUGGCCUUUCACCCCCAGCCACAAGUCAUCCGCUAAUUUUUCAACAUUAGUCGGUUCGGUCCUCCAGUUAGUGUUACCCAACCUUCAACCUGCCCAUGGCUAGAUCACCGGGUUUCGGGUCUAUACCCUGCAACUUAACGCCCAGUUAAGACUCGGUUUCCCUUCGGCUCCCCUAUUCGGUUAACCUUGCUACAGUAUAUAAGUCGCUGACCCAUUAUACAAAAGGUACGCAGUCACACGCCUAAGCGAGCUCCCACUGCUUGUACGUACACGGUUUCAGGUUCUUUUUCACUCCCCUCGCCGGGGUUCUUUUCGCCUUUCCCUCACGGUACUGGUUCACUAUCGGUCAGUCAGGAGUAUUUAGCCUUGGAGGAUGGUCCCCCCAUAUUCAGACAGGAUACCACGUGUCCCGCCCUACUCAUCGAGCUCACAGCAUGUGCAUUUUUGUGUACGGGGCUGUCACCCUGUAUCGCGCGCCUUUCCAGACGCUUCCACUAACACACAUACUGAUUCAGGCUCUGGGCUGCUCCCCGUUCGCUCGCCGCUACUGGGGGAAUCUCGGUUGAUUUCUUUUCCUCGGGGUACUUAGAUGUUUCAGUUCCCCCGGUUCGCCUCAUUAACCUAUGGAUUCAGUUAAUGAUAGUGUGUCGAAUCACACUGGGUUUCCCCAUUCGGAAAUCGCCGGUUAUAACGGUUCAUAUCACCUUACCGACGCUUAUCGCAGAUUAGCACGUCCUUCAUCGCCUCUGACUGCCAGGGCAUCCACCGUGUACGCUUAGUCGCUUAA
rnacentral:rRNA from 1 species